CUCCUUAGUCAUCUUUUGCACAUUUAAGUGUGUUUAUUGCUUAUCUCAUGUGCAUUUUUUGUAUGCAUAUGCAGAAGGGGUAAAAAAGGUAAGGAGGUCUCAAUGGGGUCACUUAGACUCUGUUUGGUUAGGGUUUUGAUUUUGGGGUUUGUAGGCCGAGUUGGGAACUUAAUGAGACUUUCCAGCUAGGGAUGGUGGGUUUAGCCCCUAUCUCUCCCCCUUAAGAGCCCUUAAUGCAUUCCAUAACCGAAUGAGCUUGGAAAGUCCGAAGGCUAAUCUGGCAUGAGUGCACAGAGAUAGAUAAAGAAAAUGAGAGUAAUAAUUGGAGAGAAAACCUAUUGGAAACCGUGCGCAGAGAGAGGUUGGGUUUAGAGACCCUAAAACGAACACAGUCUUAGUGAUUAUUCUUGCUUUUACAAAUAAUUUAGGAGGUGUGAGUCUUCAAUCGUAUACCAUGUGUACCUAAUUUAGCUGCCCUUCUUUUCCUUUAUUAAUAUGGGAGGAAACAUAGACAUAGUUGGAGUUGCCAACGGCCUAAUAGGCUUGAAGAAGCAUGACCAAGUGACCAACUUUUUUUUAUAAUUUUUUUUUAAAUCAGGGAUAUUUUAGGAGCCUUCUACAGGUACCUUACCAACUGAUAUAAAGAUGCUGUAUAACUUGUCUCCAUGAUAGGAAUUAACUGUAUUGUUCGACGUUCACUGUGUAUGCAUUUCAGAUCUGCAUCCAAAAAUGAAUACCAUGCGUCGUUGGAAUUACAUAUAAUAAAAUUUAUCACCAGGGAAGGUGUCCAGAAAAGUGAAAACGAUCUAGCUAUCAGUAUUUAAUCAUGCAGUAAUAGCUACCAUUAAUUUGAAACAUUUUAAUUGGUAUGUUAGCUGAGUUGUAAUCUGCGGUUGGCUAGCAGGCCCCAGGUUUUGAACCCAUUAUCUAUGCAAAUUGAUGUUAUUGUAAGUUUGUAACUAAUUUUUUUUUUUUACCCUGACCCAUCAAUCUGAAAAGGAUAUGAACCCGGUUCUUAAUAUUUGAAACCAUUUGUUGAUUAGAGAGAGAGACAUGGUACAAAGACCUAACUACCCCUCACUAUAUUCUAACACCAUCCAAAUGCAGUGACUUUUUUGGGAAAGAGUUGUCUGAAUAACAUGGUAAAUCAAAACAAAGCCAUCGUCUAUCACCUUCCUCGAUUGAUUAAACCCACUAUUAAUGAGGCCAGCCAGAAUUACCACUCCCUCUGCCCUUCUUCAUCACCAACCACCUGUCCAAGACCAAUGAAACUCCCCAUCUGGGUAGUAACCGCUCCACCUCCACAUCCACCUUCAUUAGACUCACUACCGCUUACGAGAAAAUGGACCAAGAACAAAAUUUAUAGAAAGCGAAACGACUGCAAUCAUGUCCAGAACCAUAUCCGUCGCAUCACAAUCACCAAGUCACUCAACUUAACUGUGGUGACCUCCUUCAUCCCAAGACUUUCAUUGGGCGGGUGCUUGUUGACAUGAUCCUGCAUCCAUCAAACUCGUAACAUGCUAUUGGUAUCUAUCUCCUUGAUGGCAUCCGCCAUCAACAACAGAUGAUUGGUUUGCUAUCUUAGUGUUUAGGUAGAGAUCCCUUAAAAAUAUGUACCUUCUAUGAGUAAUCCAUCUAUUGUUCUAUUCAACAAGCCACCUGUAGCUAAACUUCUUUUAUUUCUGCUGAAAUUAACAAGAAAAA